GGGGAAUUUUCCGCAAUGGGCGAAAGCCUGACGGAGCAAUACCGCGUGAGGGAGGAAGGCUCUUGGGUUGUAAACCUCUUUUCUCAGGGAAGAACACAAUGACGGUACCUGAGGAAUCAGCAUCGGCUAACUCCGUGCCAGCAGCCGCGGUAAUACGGAGGAUGCAAGCGUUAUCCGGAAUGAUUGGGCGUAAAGCGUCCGCAGGUGGCUGUGUAAGUCUGCUGUCAAAGAGCGAAGCUCAACUUCGUAAAGGCAGUGGAAACUACACGGCUAGAGUGCGUUCGGGGCAGAGGGAAUUCCUGGUGUAGCGGUGAAAUGCGUAGAGAUCAGGAAGAACACCGGUGGCGAAGGCGCUCUGCUAGGCCGCAACUGACACUGAGGGACGAAAGCUAGGGGAGCGAAUGGGAUUAGAUACCCCAGUAGUCCUAGCUGUAAACGAUGGAUACUAGGCGUGGCUUGUAUCGACCCGAGCCGUGCCGUAGCUAACGCGUUAAGUAUCCCGCCUGGGGAGUACGCACGCAAGUGUGAAACUCAAAGGAAUUGACGGGGGCCCGCACAAGCGGUGGAGUAUGUGGUUUAAUUCGAUGCAACGCGAAGAACCUUACCAAGGCUUGACAUGUCGCGAAUCUGAUUGAAAGGUCAGAGUGCCUUCGGGAGCGCGAACACAGGUGGUGCAUGGCUGUCGUCAGCUCGUGUCGUGAGAUGUUGGGUUAAGUCCCGCAACGAGCGCAACCCUCGUUUUUAGUUGCCAGCAUUAAGUUGGGCACUCUAGAGAGACUGCCGGUGACAAACCGGAGGAAGGUGGGGAUGACGUCAAGUCAGCAUGCCCCUUACGCCUUGGGCUACACACGUACUACAAUGCUACGGACAGAGGGCAGCAAGCUAGCGAUAGCAAGCUAAUCCCAUAAACCGUGGCUCAGUUCAGAUCGAAGGCUGCAACUCGCCUUCGUGAAGGAGGAAUCGCUAGUAAUUGCAGGUCAGCAUACUGCAGUGAAUUCGUUCCCGGGCCUUGUACACACCGCCCGUCACACCAUGGAAGCUGGCAACGCCCGAAGUCAUUACUCCACCAUUCGUGGGGGAGGAUGCCUAAGGCAGUGCUGGUGACUGGGGUGAAGUCGUAACAAGGUAGCCGUACCGGAAGGUGUGGCUGGAUCACCUCCU
rnacentral:rRNA from 1 species